AGUGAACGCUGGCGGUAGGCCUAACACAUGCAAGUCGAACGGCAGCACAGUAAGAGCUUGCUCUUACGGGUCGCGCCUCCCGGCACGGUGACGAACACAUCGGAAUACACUCUUUCGUGCGGGCUCACGUACGCCCCACUCCGCUAACACCGACCCGGACCUACGGGUGAAAGCACGGGCCCGUGGGCUCGUCCGCGCGUGAACGCGCCGAUGUCGGAUUACCUAGCCGUGGGGGUAAAGGCCCACCCAGGCGACGAUCCGUAGCUGGUCUGAGAGGAUGAUCAGGCACACUGGAACUGAGACACGGUCCAGAGUCCUACGGGAUGCAGCAGUGGGGAAUAUUGGACAAUGGGCGCAAGCCUGAUCCUGCCAUACCGCGUGGGUGAAGAAGGCCUUCGGGUUGUAAAGCCCUUUUGUUGGGAAAGAAAAGCAGGAGGUUAAUACCCCGCUUGUCUGACGGUACCCAAAGAAUAAGCACCGGCUAACUUCGUG
rnacentral:rRNA from 1 species